GUACUUCCUCUCCUACGCAUUCAUGAAUUCCCCCUUGCAUGGCACCAUUUGCUCUUUGUAGGGGAAAACAGUGAACUGAGCUAGCUCGAGCCAUCUCGAGAUCGGUCACUAAAGCUCGGUUCGAUCUCGAGGUCGGGUAGAGUAUUUUUGGUUGCUCGAGCUUGAAUUGGAGCCUCAACUCGUUUAUUUGCUUGAGUCGAGUUAAAAAUAAUCGAACUCCUCAUCGUGUUUUAACGAUUUCGUUUUUUUCAUUUGUAUAGAGUCAUUAAAGUUUGACUCAGCUAAUGAAUCAAUCCCUAAAACUUGAAAAAUGAAAAAUUGAAAACUGAAUGAAACCCUACCCAGUACCCUCGUCUGUCGUCUCUGAUCUUAGAAUCUCACCCAAAAAAGCCAAAUGCAAAAACCUUCGUCCCUUCGCACUCGCAGUCACAAGUUACUGGUUACAGGUAGCAGCAGCAGCAGCAGCGGCUCUUUGUGGAUGGCAGGACCAAGUGGGCAACCAUUUCGGCAUCUCCUUAGAAGUUGUUCCCCUCUUUAGGCACUCAGCAAGACAUCAACCUACUCUCACUGUCUCACAACUCACAAGGCAGCGGUGGCUUUUGUGGAUGGCAGGCCAAGUGAGCAAUCAUCUUGGCAUCUCCUCAACAGCUGUUCCCUUAUUCAGCCACUCAGCAAGACAUCAACCUACACUGUUUGACAACUCACAAAGUAUCCUCACUCUCUCUUCGAAGAAGACUCAUCCUACACCCCUCUACAUGACCCAUUGACGCUUCCAUGUCUUUGGAGGAUGUAUGGAGUUGGAAUAUGGUAAGGUUAGGGGCUGUUUCCUCUGUCUUUUCUGGCUCUAUGAAUGGAAAAGGGGAAUACGCCAUUUUUCAUUUUGGUUUACGUCUUUCUGGCCCUUUUUCAUUUGAGCCUUGAGAGUUCAUUAUUAGAAUGGCAGUAAGAUUUAUUAAGCUUUGCCUUGUGUUUACUCUGCCCAAGGGAGCCAUGUUAGGGCAUGUUCAAUAGUAAUCAAGCAAAGACUCUAUGUUUUUCCCCUCCCACUGUUGGGUGGAGAUCAUCUCUGGAUGUUCUCAUAGUCAAACCAGUCAGUCAUUUUUUCUUUUACACAAAAACUUAUGUUGGUAUUGGAAGUAUUCGAUCAUAGGUUUUAGGAGCAGAUAGUUUUUUUCUGUAUCACUCUUAGGAUCACUAGGAAAUAUUUCAGCCUAUCUAGAAUGAAAUUUCUCUUAAUUCUUUAAUGCAUUCAACAUGCUUCAGUCGAUCCAGCGUCGGUUCGAGUCGCCUUGUUGCUGGUUUUAAUUUAGCAAUAUGAAAUGCUACAAAACUAUUCAUUUGGUACUUUCUCAGUUAUCAAAUGCCACUUAAGUUUCAUCUGACUGGUGUCCUAAUGUUGAAUCUUUAGAACUGUGAACAUGGUAAAGAUUAUACCCAAUCCUUUUUAGUGAACGAACAAAUAUGUGUGUGCCUGGCUCCAUCCUACCAUUCAAAGAAACACGUCUCUAAGAAAAAGUAAAUGCUUUUUGAAAGAGACUUACACAUGACUCUGUUUUACAGGGGAGAGGUUAUUUGACUACUGGGUUCAGUAGUCGAUCUCCUCUCUAAUAGAGCACCUUGCAUGUAUAUUGUUGAAUUUAAACGAAUGAAAAAACUAUUCUUGAAGAUCAGCUCCAUCUUAAUGUGAAUCAUGACAACUUUCAUUGAAAUCUCUGGUUCGUUGCUGCAUGGAUCCAAUGGAUAAACUUUGAAUUGACCUUAAACCAGUUCUCUUUUCUUGGCAUCAUUGAGGGCCGAUGAACAUGCAUGUCUUAGACAGGUGUCAGGCUUUUGUCUCAACUGACACCUAUUCAUGAACUAAUUAAGAUUAAGCUAUCUCGGAUACUAUCUAGGAGCCAACUGCACUGAUCAGAAGAGCUCUUGAGUGCCAUCACUUGAUCAAUGGUAGAGGUAGUAAUGUUGUGAUAGCAUGCCUGGCCAUUUUCUGGAGCUUUUCUUCACCACUUCAUUUCAAAGUUAGCAAGUUAGUAAACAAUAUGCAAUGUUAAGAUUUUCCUGGUCUCUGCAUAGGCAUAUACAUUUUCAUGAAGAAAGAGCCUUUCUAUGUGUACGUUUCAUCUUAUGGAAGUAAAAACUUAUGUUUCUUCAGGGAAAGAUUACUAUAUAGAAAGAUUUUACAUCUUUGUGCUAUAUUUUUUUCUCUUUUCCAUCCAAUGAAGAGGGCCUAUCACUGGCAUCAGAAACAAGUGAUUGCUGUGAAUCAAAGAUUUCACUAAAUUAAAGUCAACUUCUAGAAGUGUAUAACUUUGACAAGCUUGGUGAUUCUUGUUUUCAAUUUCUGCUGUUAGAAAAGUGUGAUUGCUUCAAGUUGGAUAUUUGUGUUGCUAAUUCUUUGGUUCUUGUUGCUGCCUUCAUGUAUAAACCUGUUGUUUGUACAUCUUCUAUGGGUCAGUCACCAUCCAACUAUCAUUGCUUGUCACUAUGAAGGCAAUGAAUGGAAUUUUUUAAAAGAAUAUGCACAUUGUUUUGACAAUGUGCCUGGCCAUUUUCUGCAGCUUUAUCUUGAUGUGAAAUUUCAUCGUUGUAAUGGACAAACAAUGCAGAAGAAUAUUGGCCCUCUUCAUGGUCUAACCUUUUUUGCCUUUUUGUAUGUCCUUUUCAUCAUGACCUAAUUUCUUUUUCCUAUUCUCUGAUCUUCAUGAUCUUAGUGGUGGUCAUGUAGUAAAUAUGCAUAUGUGUUCAUAAUGAGUUUUAUCAAAUAAUGAUAAAUUACGUAGUACUGACAUAUGAAACUGCAAGUGAAGGUCCAUAUGGGUUUGUAGCAGCAAAGAGAAAGGUGAAUGAAGGUCAUAAAAUGAGUAAUCUUGACAAGUUUCUUCAAAGGGUUGAGAAGAGCUUUGAAAGAAAUCGAGCUUGAGCACAUCGAGCGAGCUCGAGCUCAUUAUUUUAUAGGUCGAGCUGAGCUUGAGUUGGCUCGACUUAGCUCGUGUUCACCCCUCACUCUAUGUAGAAGAUCACAGAGAUCUUUUGCAUGGGUUCUAUAGAGUCCUAGCAAAGAGGGCUAGGCCCUUCAAAUCCCAAGCUUAUGUUAGACAUCUCUAGGUUUAUGUCCUUCAUGUUUUGCAGUUUUCAUGUUUCAUGAGUGAUUAUUGCCGAUUUAGAAGAGAUUCUGCCCUUUUUAUGGGUAGAAUUCACUAACUAGGCCAAAAGGUGAUGUUUUAUGUGUUCUCGUCAAGUUUGUGCCACCGGUUAGUACCAUUUUAUUCAUUAAUUUAUGAUGUUGGUCAUGCAAAUCACAUACACACACACAUACACAUAGAAUCCUCCAUAGAUGUAUAUGUGUUGGAGUCAUUAGACAUCUACUUUCGUUUGGCAAUGUUUUUAUGUGAUCUGAAGCCCAUUUUCCAUCUUUCUUACACGUAAUGCAGAAACCUGUCUUCUGUAGUUUUUGUUUGCAGAAUCUGAAAAUUCUAAAAUUUUGUUAAAUUCCACAACUUCAUAGCUCAUGAACCAGGUGGAAUUUCUCGAUCCUAUAGAAGGUAAAGUUGUGCCUUUACUUGUUAGCUUUGCAAUGCACCCAAGUUUUAUGUUUAGGAUAUUGUUUGACCCCUCUACCAGAUUAUAGGAACUUAUUUUUUGCAAUCCGAAUUUUUGUAGAAAUAAACAAUGAGAAUUUGUACAUCUCUCAACAUUACAAGGUCAUAAUUUUGAUGUCGUC